GCUUGUUGGUGAGGCAACGGCUCACCAAGGCAACGACGGGUAGCUGGUCUGAGAGGAUGGCCAGCCACAUUGGGACUGAGAUACGGCCCAGACUCCUACGGGAGGCAGCAGUGGGGAAUCUUGCGCAAUGGCCUAACGGCUGACGCAGCGACGCCGCGUGUGGGAUGAAGCUCCUCGGAGUGUAAACCACUGUUGCCCGGGACGAAUAGCUCGAUUAAUCGAGCCUGACGGUACCGGGUGAGGAAGCACCGGCUAACUCCGUGCCAGCAGCCGCGGUAAUACGGGGGGUGCGAGCGUUGUCCGGAAUCACUGGGCGUAAAGGGCGCGUAGGUGGUUUGAUAAGGGUGUGGUGAAAGUCCGGGGCUCAACCCCGGAUCUGCCGUGCCGACUGUCAAACUCGAGGACUGUAGAGGCAGACGGA
rnacentral:rRNA from 1 species